UACGUAGGGAGCAAGCGUUGUCCGGAAUCAUUGGGCGUAAAGCGCGCGUAGGCGGCCCUGUAAGUCCGCUGUGAAAGUCAAAGGCUCAACCUUUGAAAGCCGGUGGAUACUGCAGGGCUAGAGUCCGGAAGAGGCGAGUGGAAUUCCUGGUGUGGCGGUGGAAUGCGCAGAUAUCAGGAGGAACACCAAUAGCGAAGGCAGCUCGCUGGGACGGUACUGACGCUAAGGCGCGAAAGCGUGGGGAGCGAACAGG
rnacentral:rRNA from 1 species